GUUAGGCUCUGCAAGAAGCAAGGGAAAGAAUAAAGAAGAUGAGGAGGGGAAAGAUGAAGAUAACAUGGAUGUUGAGCUUCCAAAGUUGACUUCUACUGUUGAUCCCAAUAAAAUGGCCAAGACUUCAUUUAGCCUCAGAGUAUGUGCUCCUUCCAUUGUAGGCGCUAGCAAAGGUCGUAGCUAUCUGUCAGUACUUGCAGCAUUUUAGUUAUUGUUCUCUAACACAUAAGAGACGUUGAUCAGCACUGACAGCCAACAGAAUCAACCAACCUACCAUCAUAAGAGCAUGGAGACCAGUAGCAGCAGUUGUAGGGAAAAACAGCAGCAGCAUCACUUGUAGGGGAAAAAAAGAGAGAAUCCAACAAGACGAGUUUUCUUUAUCCUUUUUUUCAAUUUUCUCCUUGCUUGGGCAUGGAUUUAUUUCACCCUUGAGAACUUCAUGUGGUGCUUCAUGCUUAGUGUGUUGAUAUCUCUAGUGAUGUUGUGUAUUUGCAUUCAUCAUCAUAGAUUGCACACAUCUGUGUUUUUUAUCAACCUAUUCUCUCUUUU